GGUUUCUCUAUGCAGGAAGAGAGGACAGCCCCAAUUAACAAGUAGUUUUAACGUUUUGGCUUUUGUCAUGUUCACUGAUGUCCUUUUGGCCAAAGGAAGUCACAUGGCCAAGUCCAGAGUCGUCAUAGAACGGGAUAACAUAAGGGAGUAGAUACAGGGAGACAUGAUUUAUUGGUCCCAAUGAUUCAUACCCUUACCAUGUGCAAGAUUAACUCACCCCCCUCCCAAGAUCCCCAAAAGUUUCAUCUUGAUUCAAAAGUCCAGUAUCUUAUGUGUAACAGUCUGGAUGUAGCUAAAGCUUCUUCACUGGAUCCUUUUUGAGUCAGAUACCUGUAUACUAAAAAGGCAAGUCAUUUGUUUCCCUCCACCCCAAACAUUCCCUACCUAACAUACAGUGGUGAGAGAGAGAUACUGCAGUAGAUGCUCCCAUUCAGAAAGGAC
rnacentral:lncRNA from 1 species